GAUGAAGAACGUAGCGAAAUGCGAUAAGUAAUGUGAAUUGCAGAAUUCAGUGAAUCAUCGAAUCUUUGAACGCACAUUGCGCCCGUCAGUAUUCUGGCGGGCAUGCCUGUUCGAGCGUCAUUACGCCCCUCAAGUCCCCUGUGGACUUUGUGUUGGGGAUCGGCGAGGCUGGUUUUCCAGCACAGCCGUCCCUUAAAUUAAUUGGCGGUCUCGCCGUGGCCCUCCUCUGCGCAGUAGUAAAACACUCGCAACAGGAGCCCGGCGCGGUCCACUGCCGUAAAACCCCCCAACUUUUUAUAGUUGACCUCGAAUCAGGUAGGACUACCCGCUGAACUUAAGCAUAUCAAUAAGCGGAGGA
rnacentral:misc_RNA from 1 species